CUUCCGACCAAACCUUCUGUUGUUGCGUAAAGGAAAAUAACUUACUUCACGUAAUAGCAGUAAACCUGAUAAGACAGCGACUUCUCUUUGGAAUAUUUAUGUCUUGACAAAGGAAAAAGGAAAUAGGAGGUAAGGAAAGGAAUUAAAUCUAAACUGAAUGAGCAAACAAAUAAGAAAAGAAGAAAAAACUUACUGUGAUAACAUGAAAACCAGCUUCAGCUAUUAUACAAGUUUUGAUAGCAUCUACCUCAGUGUGAACUCAUGGGUCACACAUUAUUAUGAGUUAGCAUUUUCUAUUCAGUUUCCUUUUCUGAGCGAGCAAGCCUGACAUUAAAGAGCUGCAACUUUGUGUGUGUGCACAUACAGUAUGUGUGUGUAUUUUGCAUGUGUGUGUGUUUCUCCAUCAUUUACUCAACUCCACCUGGCUAUGAUGAAUUGGUCUGACCUGCGACCCCUCCAUCAGAGUAGCUGAUGGUGAGUUAUGCCCGUGGGUAUCUCUGCCAGCUAAAUCAUUUAGUUGGAGUGACUGCUGGUAAAACAUCAUAGAAAAGGCUUUUAUUGCACAGUGCUGUAAAGAAAAUAGGAUUUGACUCAGCAUAUAGUUCUGUGGUUUGGACAGUAGCUGACAACUGCUGUUACAAGUUUGACUGAAAUAUGUAUCACUACAGAAACAUGUAUACCAUUGCUUGGUAAAAUGCCCCAUCAUGCUAAUAUACAACUAUGUAGAGUCUUCUGUAUGCAUGCAUUAUUAAAGGAAUAUUCCAGCAAUUUAUCAUUCAUCAUCUCCAAGUCGGAGGACAGAUGGUUAUAAAAAACCCAAUGUUUACAAUUAAAGCAGCAGACACUGAGAUGUCCUGAUUUUUAUUCCUUUGUAUCAGUUAAAGCAAGACUAUAUCUGUGUUUCCAUCCAAAUGUAUCGCAAGUUUUAACUGAAUUUCAAGUAACUUGCCAAAUGAAAAUGCAUAUGAAUGCUUGUUUCUGUGAAUAUUAGAUGUUGGUUCAUCGGGAUAAGCAAGAGGUGGCAACAAUUCUCCAGUGGGACAGCCAGAAGAAGAUAGCGCAACAAGAUGACUUAAUUAAAAGAAAGCCAGUCAAGCCUCAAACGGUUAAAAACAAUGUCUGUGUGGAGCCAUCAUGGAUGUGUUAUACAGCCAUGGGAGUGAUGAGGAGACUGUCGGAGCAGAAACAGCUCAUCAGUCAUGUGAAAUGUUUAGUCAGAACUUAUUCGGAUAAAGGGUUUCCAUCAGCUUGUUAACUCUUUUUGAAAAAGGUAAAACCACCUCCAGCUGGCCUGAAAAUCUUUUUGGGAAAUUCAGGGACGUUUUUUAGUCGUACAUUGAUGGAAUCACGGCUAAUGUAACUUUUGAACGAGGAAAUAGCACUCAGGGUUUUGUUACUACAGCCUUACUUGGUCUGGUAUGACCAGUAGUUUACUUAGCAAACAAGAUCAAUGCCGUAUUACUGAGUCAGACCAGUGACUUUACAACUCUUCUCUACUUGUGUUACUGUUAUGCUUCAUUUUAGCAUCUACUUUUGUUCUGAACUGAGAUAAAACUUUCAGUUCAUUCUGCAGCCACUAGGAGGUGCUUAUUCUGUUUUGCAUAUUAUUGGCCUCAUUUCUUGCCCUUCGAAACCCUGUAGGAGGCCAUUUGAGCACUCAGAGAAAGCACAUUGCAUAUGGGCUUAUCAAAACAUCUGCAUCCAUCUUCUUUUGGGGUCACUUAUAGAAGCAUUGUCUGUAAGUGCAGUUCUUAUAAGGUGCCCAUAUUUGCAUUGAUGUUUACAUUUUGUGUGGAUGGCUGGGUUGGGCCAUUUUUGUAUCAUGUACUUUUUAUUGCCCACUGCUUUCAGCUAGCUAUAUUUGUUGGCCAUGUAUGCACCAGGUAGGCUUUAUGUGGCACAUAAUACGUACAUGAUGGAAACUCUUAUUAAUGAGGCUAUCCAUACUCAUUGUUUAUUUUAUUGUCUUUCUUCAUUUCAGUUUUACUUUUAUUCUUAGCCACGGUGGCGAAUGAAACUCUACAAUGUAUUCUUUACGCACAUACCUUUAGUUAUCCUUUGUGGCUUGCUUCUCUCGUCUUGCUGUAACCUGCAGAAUGUGGUUUUCAGAGUGAGUUGUGUUAGUACUUGUGCAUUCUUUAGAAUUGAUCCUAUUGUUUUGUGUAAUAUAAUAGUCUGUAUUGUGCCAUUUGUGCUCAUAACCAAAUACAUAUUUCUGCGCUCCAAACACACUGACCCUACACUCCAGUGGAUAUUUAUUACUUUAUUGUGUGAUGACCCAUCAUCAACAUAUUACUGCCCCCUUGUGUUGUGACAUAUGAUAUAAACUACUUUUUCAAAAAGAACCCAAAUAUACCCAUAUUGGCUCAAACAAACUGUCAAUACAAAAUGGUGGCGCACAAUAAUCAUUCAUUGGCUAACUGUGUUGAAGGAGUUGUCUGUCUGUCUAGUUAAGGGUGUAGACUCUAUGGUGCUAUCCAUUUGUCUCGUAAAUCCCCCGCCCGAGUUGCUCUGCUGCGAGAACGUAACGUAAUUGACUUAUAGUGUUCCAUUUGUCUUUGGGCAUUACGAGUCAGAGAGAAGUACAGCAGCUGUCUUAUUAUUGCUUGUGGCUCUUCUAAACAAGCUCAAUGUGAAAUAAUAAUGUUUUUCUACAGAAACACUAACAUUUCAAGUAAUUCCGUUAUUGCAAGUCUUACAUUUCAAUAAUGUUUUGCCAUUUUUGCCUAUUUCAGUUUCAACAAGUGCUGUGGCGUUUGUCUCGAGCCACCAGGGGCCACCAGGGGCCACCAGGGGCAGUGUCAGGCUAGUGUUAUUGUUAGCUACACUAGCCUAUUUAGCAAACCAGCUCGAAAACAAAACUUUACAUUGUGUUGCACGCACAGCAACACCGUGCAAUGCAUAAAUUGGUGACCGGACUAAAGCAGCAAUGUAAACAAGUGUCACGGCCCACCGGCCUUCAUGGUGUGUGUGUGUGUGUGUGUGUGUGUGAAUGUAGUUUUUGUAUUUUCUCCCCUUUGGUGUGCCUGCUGUGUGCUUGGUGUGUUUUGGUUUGGUGUCUAUCUCUGUGUUUUGCUUUCCCCACAUGUUCUGAAAGCCGCUGGUGGGCGUGGUCGCUGGAGCUCCUGCUUUCUCACCUGUGGUUCAUCACACCAAUCAGCACACCGGGUCCUCGUCUACAACCUACCCACCCUUUAUAAACCAGGCCGACCUUCCAGUCCCCGCCGGAUCGUUGAAUCAUUUAACCAUCUCACCCAGAUCCUGGACCCAGUUCCACCUGCCAGCAUCGCAACACCCAGAGCACUGGAGCCCGGAACCCAUCCCCCCUCUCUGUCACAUCUGAAUCUCGGUCACUUAAAUCACUUUGUUUGUGCCUUUCAAAUAAAACUCCUUAUUUGAAACUUCACUCUAGUCUGCGCCCGAGUUCCGGUCACCAUUCCUGACAACAAGUGUGUAGGAGCAUUUAAAAUCGACAUUAAAACGACCAACGUAGUACAAAUACAAAGAAAAUACAUCUCAAUAUGGGUGCUGCCAUCUUUGUUUUGCGGGUCGUACGUUCGUCCUGGUUUAGCUCGGUGUACUCUGAGGUACCCCGAGCUGGACGGCUGAAAUUACGACCAAAAGGGGGGUGUGUCUCGGGGGCAUGUUGCGAGAUAGCUGCGAGAUUUACACUUUCCAACUUGGGCUGGGGGUUUACAAGACAAAUGGAUAGCACCAUUAGUAUCCCAUAAUUCCCAUCUAUGGCCAACAUCCAUCUAAAGUUACAUAGUGUUACUUUAACCUCCAACAACACUGGAUCCUACAUUUCCCAUUAACCCUUUGUAGGGCACUCAAUGAAAUACUUGGAAAUUUAAAAUUUCAACCCAGGAGUGUUAUUGGUGAAUAUAAGAAGAAAUUUCUGUCUUUUUCUGCUAAAAAUGUUAACUAAAGCCCAAUCAGCACAAAGCUUCCAGAGCCACUGCAGACACUGUUCAACUGUUUCCAAAGGCUGAGUAUUCAAUUCAAUUCAGUUUUUUGUUGUAUAGCGCCUAUUCAUAACAAAAGUUAUCUCAGGACACUUUUCAAAUAGGGUAGGUCUAGACUGUACUCCUUAUAAAAUCAUUUACAGAGACCCAACAGUUCCCGUCAUGAGCAAGCACUUGGCGACGGCAGCAUGGAAAAACGUCCUUUUAAGAGGUAGCGGUAAAGACAGAAGGACAGAGACACAGGUGCAACAACAAUAGCAACAACUAUACUAGUAGAAUAGCAAUAGCAAUAAUGAUGAUGAAUAAUAGUCGCUAUGUAGAGUAGUGCUCCUGUGAUGAGUAAACUGAUUUUUAUUUAUAAAACGGGUGCAAUUCCCCCUUUAAUGCAGCAAAACUAGCUUAUUUACAGUGGUUGGAAAUACUCUCAUACUGCUGAGAAAGGCCAAUAAAGUCUGUUCCAGUCAGUACUUGCAGAUUGGAAGUGAUAUUUCACACCAUGUUUGUAUUUUCAUGCAGUUAAAUUCAUCUCUUCUAUUUCUGAACCAGUACUGACCCCAAAUAUUUUCAUGUCACAGACUCAUUUAGAAACACAUCAGAGUCCAGUCCAGAUCCUGACUGAUACGGGGGCUGCAUACAGACAGACUGUUGUUAUUUGCACUGAAAUACGCCGAAGGUGAUGAAAAUGACGGCCAAAACAGAAUCAAGAGAGAGACAAAGGUCACUGUCAGGGCACAUUGCCUAAUAGGGAUCAUUAUAGUGAACUGGAACCAUUAUUCACUUUGCUUGAGGACCUCCACUUUGAGAGCUACUGAUCUGGAACUGCAGUGGUCACAUAAUAAGCCGUUGUUUCCCCUUCCUCCCCUCUUUCCUCUUUUCCUCCUUUUAACGUCCUUUUCUCCUCAAGGCUCCUCUCUUCUUUCUCACCCUCCAAUCCAUCAUGGUAUAGCUCUUUGCUCUUGUGGCUGUCAGAGGGGAAAGAAUGGUCAUAGUGGUGAGUGGACUAUGUUUCUAUAUUUCUUACUGAAGAACCCUUUAAACCUAUCCAAAUAUGCCAGUUACAUUACCCAUUAGCGAUGACAGCAAUAAACACACAGUCUAGCAAGGCUGGUUAUUAUGUGUACUGAAGUGUCAAAGGUGAUGAGCAUCAAAGUAAAAGCAAUCAAUAAGUAAAUCAAUGAGGCUAGUGAUUUAUACAUCCUGGGAUCCCUGGGGUUCAAUACAUAAGGCACUUCCUUCAUGAUGCUUGUUGGGAUGAAUCAAAGACGUCUUGUCAUUGAUAGCUCCAACUGUUCUUCCGAAGGAGGAGACAGCGUGUCUGUCACAGCUUUGUAUUAAACAGGUGAGUAAUGCAGAAAAGGCAGAGGACAAAUUAAAGUCAGGGAUGUAGAGUUAAUCUAAAUACAGAUUACAAGUACUUCACCUCUGAGAGAUCACCUGUCAAUCAAACAUCAUAGAUGCUAUCGCUCAUUUGAUCAUUUUGUGGAUUUUUGUUUUUGUUUUGUCUCUAUUUGAAAUACCUACUUUUCUUUGUGCUGCAGUCCUUGUCACUGCUAUCUUUACUUUUGUAUAGGACUACAGACAGACGUGCUACCGCUGGAACUCUGGGUUUUACUUGCUGUGCAGCAACAAGGAUAAGAACACUGGCUUUCAAUCUACGAACCAUUGUGGUUGUUCAAACAAAUGACCAAACUGGACGUACCGUCUUUCCUGGUGGAUUUUCUGAAUAUUAAAUCUUUACUGUAGCAGGCUGUUUUUUCUUCUUUUUAGCCAUGGCAGCUAUAGCCUCACGAGCCAAUCUCUAAGAGCUUCGGUCAAUAAAGACAAGACUUUUCUUAGUUUACAUUGCCUAAAAUGUGGAGACAAUUAGAGAGUUUUAAAAACCAGCAUUGCAGAACCAAUCCAAAAUCUUUAGGGUGGUAACAUGGCAUUUGUGUGCUUGUAAACACUGGACAUCGAUUUUCAGUGUUUUUUAAAAAGUUCUAUCCGUGUUAUAAAGUUAUUCGCUAUAUCUCCAGUUUGUUUCACUACAGAGGACAAUUAAGGGAGAGCAUUGUUCAGGUAAGGCAUGUCCUUGAAGUAAGGGAGUAGGUUGGUUAGUGUCAGUUCUCUCCUCUGUUCAGGCAACUACUUUGCAUUUGAAAUCAUCAGACGAUUGGUUGGCGCUGAGAUCUCUGAUCUUCUGGUACCAAGACCAUGGCAACUGUAACUGUGCAUGCUAACUGUGUUAUGCUUCAGUUUGUCCCAAAAAUAAAAGUUUUCCCAAUAUGAAACUGAAUAAAAAAUGUAAUUACUGUG